CCUACGGGAGGCAGCAGUGAGGGAUCUUGGGCAAUGGGCGCAAGCCUGACCCAGCGACGCCGCGUGCGGGAAGACGCCCUUCGGGGUGUAAACCGCUUUUGCCGGGGACGAGCAAGGACGGUACCCGGCGAAUAAGGCCCGGCCAACUACGUGCAGCAGCCGCGGUAAAACGUAGGGGCCAAGCGUUACCCGGAUUUACUGGGCGUAAAGCGCGCGUAGGUGGGGCCUUAAGUCGGGCGUGAAAGCCCCAGGCACAACCUGGGGAGGCCGUCCGAAACUGAGGCCCGUGAGGGCGAGAGAGGGUGGUGAAAUUCCGGGUGGAGCGUUGAAAUGCGUAGAGAUCGGGAGGAACACCAGUGGGGAGGCCGGCCCCCGGGCUCGUUCCUGACACUGAGGCGCGAAAGCGUGGGGAGCAAACCGGAUUAGAUCCCCUAGUAGU
rnacentral:rRNA from 1 species